rnacentral:lncRNA from 1 species
AGUCGAUUUAUUGACAAAGAACGAGCUAGCAAGGAAAGGCUGAGCUCCAGAGACCGGUUAGCUAAUGUCAGGCUCGAAGUCUUCCUUUGUGGAGAAAGAACUUAACAAAAUGACUCUUUUAAAAGGUGACAGAACUGACUGUGUUUAACCUCAUGUUUUUCCUUUCUACUGGUGGGACAGCAAAAAAAAUCUGAAACUCAUGUCAUCUGUGGAAACUGCACUCAAGUGCAGGUAAUCGCAAGUAUAGCUGAAGAGCUUUUAUUCAUUCCUUCGGCUCUGGAGAAACCAACUUCAGAGUGAGUGUUAUAGGAAAAUGGAUAGAACUGACGUGCAGAAGCUCUUAAGGGGACUCAGCUAAGGUCAACCUGCUACGCCUUACUCUGAGGUUGCCUUACAGAUGGGGUCCAUGUCACCAGAUGUUCCUCAACUUGUACACUGCUGUGCAGGCCAGCACAAGAUGUAGUUGUCUCACUCUGUGAACUAUUACCCAAGUCUGUAGGGUCACUGGGUCGCCUCUCCUGCAUGCCUCCUGGACAGAUGGGGAGUGUCCAAUCCCCGAGAAGCUGAGUUACACUCAAUGGCUGAUGGGUAAAUACCAUGACCAUU